UACAGAGGGGGCAAGCGUUGUUCGGAAUUACUGGGCGUAAAGGGCGCGUAGGCGGCCUUCUAAGUCGAACGUGAAAUCCCUGGGCUCAACCCAGGAACUGCGUCCGAUACUGGAAGGCUUGAAUCCGGGAGAGGGAUGCGGAAUUCCAGGUGUAGCGGUGAAAUGCGUAGAUAUCAGGAAGAACACCUAUGGCGAAGGCAGCUCUCUGGGACGGUACUGACGCUGAGACGCGAAAGCGUGGGGAGCGAACAGG
rnacentral:rRNA from 1 species